rnacentral:misc_RNA from 1 species
GAAAUGCGAUAAGUAAUGUGAAUUGCAGAAUUCAGUGAAUCAUCGAAUCUUUGAACGCACCUUGCGCUCCUUGGUAUUCCUCGGAGCAUGCCUGUUUGAGUAUCAUGAAAUCUUCAAAGUAAAUCUUUUGUUAACUCAAUUGGUUUCUACUUUGGUAUUGGAGGUCUUUGCAGCUUCACACCUGCUCCUCUUUGUUCAUUAACUGGAUCUCAGUGUUAUGCUUGGUUCCACUCGGCGUGAUAAGUUAUCUAUCGCUGAGGACACUGUAAAAGGUGGCCAAGUUAAAUGCAGAUGAACCGCUUCUAAUAGUCCAUUGACUUGGACAAUACUUUUAUGAUCUGAUCUCAAAUCAGGUAGGACUACCCGCUGAACUUAAGC